GCGCGAUUUAUUUUGACACUCACUGACAGACGAUGAAGACGGUGUGAUGCCACUUUGCCAGUAGGCCUAAUUCGAAGAUGAAUAGUAUACAACUUAAGUGUUAUGCACACAUGUAUCGUGAUGGUAUGUGUGAAGGAGACAUACGACCAGCCAGUGAUAAAUCUUGGGCAGACUUUCUACGAAGUGUGCAGGUGUGGAAGACCGUAUCUGCACCCGGUGCUUCGUAUCUAUUCCUUCCUGUAUGGCACCGGGAAGCAGCCCGCGUGGCCAGAGCUUUCCUUGAUGGGUACCCCCUCGGCGUCGUUGUUGAGGAAAUGCCCAUUCCUGUAAACGCUGGCUUUCAUCGCCAAUGCUACACUUCUUUCACCUCUUAUUCAUUGGACAGGCAUGACAGGAGCGCAGUGAUCGAUAUAGGCCUAGAGAGACAAGACCAAAAACAACAAAACCAGACAACCGAAAUGCCUCCCGUCACACCGGCUGAGCAGUCACAGACACAAGGUUAUAAUAAUAGUCUCCCAAACCCCACGCCAAUGGCCAACGACGUGGGUAACUAUGAGACUCUAUGUACGGUGCGAGGAAGCAUCAUGUACACCAGUAUUGAGACUGGCCUGAUUAGCUGGAAGACUGGCAGCCUAGAAUUGGCCACUACGCCAACGGGACAGGUGGUCUGCUUGGUCAAUUUCGACAAUGGCCCCUCCAAAAAAAUUGUGGUGACCAAUCAGAUUAGAGGAGUGGUCUUCAAUCACAAUGUACCCCGAUGCAGCAUUGGUCUUGCCAAUGGGACCACCAUCAGUUGGACCGCCAAAGUCAACGGAAAAAUCACACGUGUUAACCCCCCGGCUGAUGUCGCUCGCCUCGCUGAUCUGCUGAACGACUUACGCGAAGAACGGAAGAGAGGUAUGGCCAGUCAGGAUCAUUCAGGCUCUGGAUCUGCCACAAAGAAGAGUCCUUUAAUUAAGACCGAGUCGAGCCAGGAGGAAACAGCGAGAUCUGAUGCAUCUGGUGGUAAUAGUCCUCCCCACCCAACGACAGUGGCCAACGACGUGGGUAACUAUAAGACGCUAUGUACGGUGCAAGGAAGCAUCAAGUACACCAGCAUUGAAACCGGCCAGGCUAGCUGGAAGACUGGCAGCCUAGAAUUGGCCACUUCGCCAACGGGACAGGUGGUCUGCUCGGUCAAUUUCAAAAUUGGCCCCUCCAAAAAAUGUGUGGUGACCAAUCAGAUUAGAGGAGUGAUCUUCAAUCACAACGUACCCCGAUGCAGCAUCGGUCUUGCCAAUGGGGCCCACAUCAGUUGGACCACCAAAGUCAACGGAAAAAUCACACAUGUUAACCCCCUGGCCGAUGUCGCUCGCUUCGCUGAUCUCCUGAACGACUUACACGAAGAACGGAAGAGAGGUAAUGCAAGUCAGGAUCAUUCAGGCUCUGCAUCCGCCACAGAGAGGAGUCCUUUACUUCGGUUUGGGUCGAGAUUGAGCCAGGAGGGAACGGCGAGAUCUUCGCACCUUUGGUCGGACACCUGCGUUAUUUGCCAAGGUACUCAGAACAAGAGGGAUAACCACUCUGGUUUAAGACGGAAGGAACCCCUCACGGUGUGUGAGCAAAUUGAUGGUGGUGCUCUUCUGACCGCUGCAAGGCUGAAGAAAGAUGAAGAUUUGCUUCUUCACAUUGAAAAUAAAGACUGCGUAGCGAUCGGACUGAAAUACCACAGAUCCUGCCUUAUGGAAUACACAUCAAUCCCUAAAAACCCAGAAGGAAGUGAACCACCAGUGCCCCUCUAUGACAAAGCCUUCAAGGUCUUCUGUGCAGAUACCAUUGAUCGGCUUCUCUUUCAGGACAAAAAUGUCUUCAGGAUGACCAAGCUGAAAAGAAUCUUUGAUAGAACUGUACAGGAAGUCGAGGACCAGGAUUCAUCAGGAUACAGGACAUCGUCCCUGAAGGACAGACUGAUCAAGUCAUAUCCGCAGCUGUGUUUCUUGAAACCAAAGACGACGAACAUUUGCGAGUUGGUGUAUGCCGACAGCUUGACCAGAGAAGAUCUUAUUGAAGAUUUGACCACUCUGAAAGAAUCCGUAAGGAAAGAGGAAUCUGAUUCUGAUUCCAGCUCGGGUAUGCAGGAAGCCAAUGAGCAGUCAUCCACUCCUUCAUGGAAGUCCAGUAGGGACCACAUGUGGACCUGCAACCGCGUCGGUAUUUUGCGAGACCGCUAUUCAACUGCCCUUGACAUUAAGAGAGACAUCGCCAGCAUUCCAUCUAACCACGACCCAUGGCCCCCAACGUCCUUGAACCUUACUGUGGAUGAUGCCCGUCGUAUCGUCCCAACGAAGUUGUUUAACUUCUUGGCAUGGAUUGUAGGCAGCUCGGAUGACCCAAAAGAAGAUGAAAUGGUCAAAGUAGUAGAUGGAGAUGAACGAAAGAUACUCGCCAUGGCCCUGGAUGUUAUUUACAUGGCAACGAGGGAGAAGUCAGCACCAACGGAUGCGUCCUCUGCGAAAGCAUUUUAAUUUCAAACUUCGAGCCAUUUUCUGAGUAUCAGCUCCCAAAAGUGCCCACACAUAUGAAGUGGAAUAGUGUAUGAUAAAUGAGUACUCGUAAAGAACAUUGCAGCUCAGAUCAAUAGGGUCAUCCCUCAAGCGUUGUCUGAGCUCUGACAUACUGUUGUAGAACUUAGCUCACCUCUCCUAGUACCUGUCCAGAAUGUACCACACAACAUAUACCACCUACAUGUUCAAGUACAAUCCAAAUCCCUUUGAGGGGUGCCAUUACAUCUGGUGUACUGUGGUGAUGAUCUGUUCAACUUCCUUUGUCUUUGCAACAUGUACAUACGUUAUCUCUAUUAUAUUUGGUUGUUUUCUGGAGACUUUUAUACUAUACAUAUUUAGUUUACAACUGUUUUGUUUACCAACAAUGCUUAAAGUACUUUUUUUUAACUGUACACCAAAGAAGAGAAUAACAAGUUUUUUGGCUUGAUGCAGGCUUGAAUGAUGCAGAUUUGUUUAAAAUGAAACAAGCCAAUUUGAGUUACACUAAAUAACAGGUAGUGUAAUUUUAAUGUCAUUUCAUGUAUGACAUCUUAAAUCUUCAACAGGUUUCACAAAGGCAACCAUUACAUGUUGUAUUUUUAUGUUCGAUGCAGUCUUCUGAAUGAUGGACAAGUGUGUGACAAUAAAAGAAAGGCAUAAGCCCCAAUUCUAGUAA
rnacentral:misc_RNA from 1 species